GUACAAGGCUAAAUAGGGCCCUGGGAUGAGGCACCUGUGACAGGGAGGGGCGCAAAACCAAGGAGUUGGCUAGACUCCCAAAUAUAUACAUAUGAAACAAGGGGGGGUUGGCUCCACUCACCUGAACAUGCAUAAAUGGGGGUGCUGCUGGGGGCCAAAUAAUACAAAACACAAGAUCCAGCGCACUCACCUAUCCACUAAACAGCAACUUCAAAGUUGAAAGAUUUGGUUUUGCACCCCUCCCUGUCACAGGUGCCUCAUCCCAGGGCCCUAUUUAGCCUUGUACU